GAUGAACGCUGGCGGCGUGCCUAAUACAUGCAAGUCGAGCGAACGGACGAGAAGCUUGCUUCUCUGAUGUUAGCGGCGGACGGGCGAGUAACACGUGGAUAACCUACCUAUAAGGCUGGGAUAACUUCGGGAAACCGGAGCUAAUACCGGAUGAUAUUUUGAACCGCAUGGUUCAAAAGUGAAAGACGGUCUUGCUGUCACUUAUAGAUGGAUCCGCGCUGCAUUAGCUAGUUGGUAAGGUAACGGCUUACCAAGGCAACGAUGCAUAGCCGACCUGAGAGGGUGAUCGGCCACACUGGAACUGAGACACGGUCCAGACUCCUACGGGAGGCAGCAGUAGGGAAUCUUCCGCAAUGGGCGAAAGCCUGACGGAGCAACGCCGCGUGAGUGAUGAAGGUCUUCGGAUCGUAAAACUCUGUUAUUAGGGAAGAACAUAUGUGUAAGUAACUGUGCACAUCUUGACGGUACCUAAUCAGAAAGCCACGGCUAACUACGUG
rnacentral:rRNA from 1 species